UACGGGGGGGGCAAGCGUUGUUCGGAUUUACUGGGCGUAAAGCGCGCGUAGGCGGAUCUGCAAGUCGGGGGGGAAAUCCCGAGGCUCAACCUCGGAACUGCCUUCGAUACUGCGGGUCUCGAGUCCGGGAGAGGUGAGUGGAAUUCCUAGUGUAGAGGUGAAAUUCGUAGAUAUUAGGAAGAACACCAGUGGCGAAGGCGGCUCACUGGCCCGGUACUGACGCUGAGGCGCGAAAGCGUGGGGAGCAAACAGG
rnacentral:rRNA from 1 species